rnacentral:rRNA from 1 species
CGGGUAAUGCCGGGCACUCUGGAAGGACUGCCAUCGACAAGAUGGAGGAAGGUGGGGAGUGACGUCAAGUCAUCAUGGCCCUUAUGUCCAGGGCGACACACGUGCUACAAUGGCCGGCACAACGGGAAGCGAGUUCGCGAGGACGAGCGGAUCCCUCAAAGCCGGUCGCAGUUCGGAUUGAAGUCUGCAACUCGACUUCAUGAAGCUGGAAUCGCUAGUAAUCGUGGAUCAGCCAAGCCGCGGUGAAUACGUUCCCGGGCCUU